AGCGUCUGGAAAGGCGUGCGAUACAGGGUGACAGCCCCGUACACAAAAAUGCACAUAUUGUGAGCUUGAUGAGUAGGGCGGGACACGUGGUAUCCUGUCUGAAUAUGGGGGGACCAUCCUCCAAGGCUAAAUACUCCUGACUGACCGAUAGUGAACCAGUACCGUGAGGGAAAGGCGAAAAGAACCCCGGCGAGGGGAGUGAAAAAGAACCUGAAACCGUGUACGUACAAGCAGUGGGAGCACGCUUAGGCGUGUGACUGCGUACCUUUUGUAUAAUGGGUCAGCGACUUAUAUUCUGUAGCAAGGUUAACCGAAUAGGGGAGCCGAAGGGAAACCGAGUCUUAACUGGGCGUUAAGUUGCAGGGUAUAGACCCGAAACCCGGUGAUCUAGCCAUGGGCAGGUUGAAGGUUGGGUAACACUAACUGGAGGACCGAACCGACUAAUGUUGAAAAAUUAGCGGAUGACUUGUGGCUGGGGGUGAAAGGCCAAUCAAACCGGGAGAUAGCUGGUUCUCCCCGAAAGCUAUUUAGGUAGCGCCUCGUGAAUUCAUCUCCGGGGGUAGAGCACUGUUUCGGCA
rnacentral:rRNA from 1 species